rnacentral:tRNA from 2 species
GGGCCCUUAGCUCAGCUGGAAGAGCGCCUGGUUUACACCCAGUAGGUCGGCGGUUCGAACCCGUCAGGGCCCACCA